CCUACGGGCGGCAGCAGUGGGGAAUAUUGGACAAUGGGGGGAACCCUGAUCCAGCGACGCCGCGUGAGUGAAGAAGUAUUUCGGUAUGUAAAGCUCUAUCAGCAGGGAAGAAAAUGACGGUACCUGACUAAGAAGCCCCGGCUAACUACGUGCCAGCAGCCGCGGUAAUACGUAGGGGGCAAGCGUUAUCCGGAUUUACUGGGUGUAAAGGGGGCGUAGACGGUGCAGCAAGUCUGAUGUGAAAGGUCGGGGCGCAACCCCGGGACUGCAUUGGAAACUGGUGAACUGGAGUACAGGAGAGGUAGGCGGAAUUCCGGGUGGAGCGGUGAAAUGCGUAGAUAUUAGGAGGAACACCAGUGGCGAAGGCGGCUUACUGGACUGUAACUGACGUUGAGGCUCGAAAGCGUGGGGAGCAAAAAGGAUUAGAUACCCGGGUAGUC
rnacentral:rRNA from 1 species